GGUCUUUUCUCCUCUUUCCUUCUUCUCUGCCACGAGGUGAGUGGCUUUGCUCUACCACCUGCGCCCCACCAUGAUAUGCCACCACAGCCCCCAGAGCCAAGGGAUUGCCUGGUCAUGGAUAGAACCUCCAAAAUGGUGUAUUAAGCUGCAUGGUGAACUGCUUCUGGAAGGAACACCACCCUGGCCAGCUUCUCCAGCAGCUUGCUGGCGGCCUUGGGGGCAUCGCUGUGGCCCUCAUUAUGUACUCCUGAGCAACACACAAAUUUGAAUACAUUUUGAAGUCACGAAUCACUGGACAGAUCACAAUACCUCUUGUUAUCACCAAAUUCAUGCCCUGUUAUCCAGCAUUUGGAAGUGACCUGUUCUCUGUAAAGACCUCCGGCAAAGUACACCCCGUAUCUCCGUGUCUCUCUCAAGAACCUCUGUUUUCGCAUUUGAAGGCUGAUGGGUGUCAAAAUGCCUGUUCAACAGGAUUGUGUCCUUUAUUUCGUGGAUCUUCCAGGACAUUGAAAGCAGCAGAUGUUUUUGCACUUGACAUUGGGAUAGGAAAAGGAAGGAAGAUUAGGUUUGUGCCUUUCAAGUGUUCUAGCUCUGGGCCUGAAAUCUCACUUUGGUAAGGAAUUGACAAUAUGUAUCAAAAUGAUGCCACUUUUGGGAAACUAUCAGUGGAAAUAAAAGCUCCAUUCACAGGUAUGUGUAAAAGAACAUUUA